rnacentral:rRNA from 1 species
AUCGCCAGGGAAUUACAAGCCCAAACUUAAAACCCAAAGGACUUGACGGUGCCCCACUCCCCCUAGAGGAGCCUGUACUUCAAUCGAUUUUACCCGCUAAACCCGACUGCUUUUUGAUUCAUCAGCUUGUAUACUUCCGUCGUAAGCUCACCAUGCUGAGUUGAUAUUGUAGUGAGCCCAAAGGAUUUCCCCAAUACGUCAGGUCAAGGUGCAGCCCACAAAGCAGAUAGUAAUGGGCUACAGUUUCUAUUAUAGAACCAACGAAAAAAGCUAUAUGAAAUAUAGCCACGAAGGAGGAUUUAGAAGUAAAAAGAAAAUAAAUUGUUCUUUUUAAAUAAGGUGCUGGGGCGCGUACAGACCGCCCGUCACCCUCUUCAACUAAACUCAAUUGAUUAAUAACCUAAUAAUUUAACACAGAA